GUGGGGAAUUUUGGACAAUGGGCGCAAGCCUGAUCUAGCCAUGCCGCGUGAGCGAUGAAGGCCUUAGGGUUGUAAAGCUCUUUCGUGGGGGAAGAUAAUGACUGUACCCCAAGAAGAAGCCCCGGCUAACUCCGUGCCAGCAGCCGCGGUAAUACGGAGGGGGCUAGCGUUGUUCGGAAUUACUGGGCGUAAAGCGCACGUAGGCGGACUGGAAAGUCAGGGGUGAAAUCCCGGGGCUCAACCCCGGAACUGCCUUUGAAACUCCCAGUCUUGAGUUCGAGAGAGGUGAGUGGAAUUCCGAGUGUAGAGGUGAAAUUCGUAGAUAUUCGGAGGAACACCAGUGGCGAAGGCGGCUCACUGGCUCGAUACUGACGCUGAGGUGCGAAAGCGUGGGGAGCAAACAGGAUUAGAUACCCGAGUAGUCC
rnacentral:rRNA from 1 species